GGGCAUGUAGCGUAGGGGUUAUCGCGUUCGCUUUGCAUGAGAAUUAAUCGGUAUUGCGAAAGGUCUCCGGUUCAAAUCCGGACUUGUCCA